UACGUAGGGGGCGAGCGUUGUCCGGAUUCAUUGGGCGUAAAGCGCGCGUAGGCGGCUCCGCAAGUCGGCCGUGAAAUCUCCGUGCUCAACUCGGAGGGGUCGGGCGAGACUGCGAGGCUCGAGGUGGGCAGAGGGCAGUGGAAUUCCAGGUGUAGUGGUGGAAUGCGUAGAGAUCCGGAGGAACACCAGUGGCGAAGGCGGCUGCCUGGGCCUGGCCUGACGCUGAGGCGCGAAAGCGUGGGGAGCAAUCCGG
rnacentral:rRNA from 1 species